GAUGAAGAACGUAGCGAAAUGCGAUACGUAAUGUGAAUUGCAGAAUUCAGUGAAUCAUCGAGUCUUUGAACGCACAUUGCGCCCUCUGGUAUUCCGGAGGGCAUGCCUGUCCGAGCGUCAUUGCUGCCCUCAAGCACGGCUUGUGUGUUGGGCCCCGCCCCCCGAUCCCGGGGGGCGGGCCCGAAAGGCAGCGGCGGCACCGCGUCCGGUCCUCGAGCGUAUGGGGCUUUGUCACCCGCUCUGUAGGCCCGGCCGGCGCCUGCCGAUCAACCAAACUUUUUUCCAGGUUGACCUCGGAUCAGGUAGGGAUACCCGCUGAACUUAAGCAUAUCAAUAAGCGGAUGA
rnacentral:misc_RNA from 1 species